GACGAACGCUGGCGGCGUGCUUAACACAUGCAAGUCGAACGGAAAGGCCCAGCUUUUGUGGGGUGCUCGAGUGGCGAACGGGUGAGUAACACGUGAGUAACCUGCCCUUGACUUUGGGAUAACUUCAGGAAACUGGGGCUAAUACCGGAUAGGAGCUCCUGCUGCAUGGUGGGGGUUGGAAAGUUUCGGCGGUUGGGGAUGGACUCGCGGCUUAUCAGCUUGUUGGUGGGGUAGUGGCUUACCAAGGCUUUGACGGGUAGCCGGCCUGAGAGGGUGACCGGCCACAUUGGGACUGAGAUACAGCCCAGACUCCUACGGGAGGCAGCAGUGGGGAAUAUUGCACAAUGGGCGGAAGCCUGAUGCAGCAACGCCGCGUGCGGGAUGACGGCCUUCGGGUUGUAAACCGCUUUCGCCUGUGACGAAGCGUGAGUGACGGUAAUGGGUAAAGAAGCACCGGCUAACUACGUG
rnacentral:rRNA from 1 species